CUAAGGAGCACCGAUUCGAUUCCCCCGCCGUCCGCGAAGUCGUGGGCAGUAGUGCGGUUGGGAUAUUUCAGCCAGGCCCUGUAGUGGGUGUCUGGUGGGUGCAAAUGACAAACGUUGAGCCGGCGCGGGAAAGCGCUGGUGAUGGAACUGCCAGACACACUAUUGGGCUUUGAGACAACAGGCCCGUGCCCCUUUUUUGGGGGGUGGCAUCC
rnacentral:misc_RNA from 1 species